rnacentral:rRNA from 1 species
CCUACGGGGGGCAGCAGUGAGGAAUAUUGGUCAAUGGCCGGAAGGCUGAACCAGCCAUGCCGCGUGAAGGUCAGUGCCCUAUGGGCGUUAAACUUCUUUUGUGCGGGAGCAAUAAUGGUCACGUGUGGCCAGACGAGAGUACCGUACGAAUAAGCAUCGGCUAACUACGUGCCAGCAGCCGCGGUAAUACGGGGGAUGCAAGCGUUAUCCGGAUUUAUUGGGUUUAAAGGGUGCGUAGGCUGUGAGGUAAGUCAGCGGUGAAAUGCCCCCGCUCAACGGGGUGAAGUGCCAUUGAUACUGGCUGGCUGGAAUGCGGAUGCCGUGGGAGGAAUGUGUGGUGUAGCGGUGAAAUGCAUAGAUAUCACACAGAACACCGAGUGCGAAGGCAUCUCACGAAUCCGCGAUUGACGCUGAUGCACGAAAGCGUGGGUAUCAAACAGGAUUAGAUACCCGUGUAGUC